AUCACUUGAGACACAGAGCUGUAUCGGUGGUCUCUAAGGGCUGUAAGAUUCUCUGAUUUUCUGCUUCCAUGGUCACAUGAUUCCAUAGUUCCAGGAUUCUAAUCCUCAAGCCACUGGGCUCCAGGAAGUACUGGGUCAAGGAAGGUUGCUUUCUCUUUAGGACUAUUUCUAAGGGUGUGUUUGGGUGUGGGUUGAGGAAGUCUGAGGAUAACAGAGAUGUUCUGAGCCUUCUCCUGUAGGACAUUGGGAGACAAAUGAGAGUGAGACCUUUCAGACCAGGUCUCCUACUUUCCAGUACUAAACAGUUGAGGAGGAAAAGUCCCUUGACUUUUAGUCUUCACCAGCACAGUUGACUUGGCCAGCCUUUGCCUGGAUCCCCACAAGACGAGCCUGAGCUUGGGACAAAGGGACCCCUGAUUUCUCUGAGGGGUGAAACUUCUCUUAGACUUGCCCAUUGGACAGUGAGCAACACACUCCAGUUCUCCCUUAAUUACUUUUUAAUUGAAAAUCUAUUUUCAAAUCUAGUGUUAAAAAUCCAAGUGGUUGUUUUCUAGGCCAGCUAGCAGGGCAGUUGUAUGAGCACUCAGAUCUGCCAGAAACAGGUAAUCAAUACCCUGGCCCUAAUAGCAAAGACUGCUGAGGUCACCACUUCCCACAGCCAGGCAGUCCCAGAACCUAGAGGGCUGAGGAGCCUGUGACUUGUUCCCAAGUAAGGGUUCCUGAAGGUACAGGCCAGUAUGAACCACGUAAGAGUCAAGCCAUUUCUUAUCACCAGAGUUGAUGACACACCAUCCUUAAGGCUGGCCCGGGUGUUGAAUCAAGCCGAAGAAUCAAAGGUGGCCAACCAGAUCCGAGUGUAUGAGAAUGUGGCCAAGAUCCGAUGCUACGAACUGGACAGGCAGAUAGAGGCCCUGCAGAAGUUUCUAGAAGAAUUGAAAAUGACCACUGGCUAUUUAGAAGACAGUCCCCUGGUGAAUGUGUGAACUCAAAGACUGUUGUCCCUGAUCUGGCAUCUCUGCUAAGUGACGCCCCUAACCCAUGAGGCCAAGUUCCCAAACUAGCCGAAGGAAAGAGUCAACAGGAAAGCCUGCCCCUGUGGUCAAAGAAGGACAAAGAGCUUCACCUGUCUCGCCUUUCUCCAAUGUUUCCAUAGCCAUGAAUUCUCCAUUCAAAGCCUUUUUCUUCCACUGUCUACUCCGGUGUUGGUAGCAUUCUGUUUCCUCCCCUUAUUUGCCUCAGCCUCAGAGAGGAAACUUCUUUUGAAAAUCUACAUAUAGCAUGCAGAGAAUAUAUAGAAAUUAAAAAUAUAUAUAUUAUAUUGCAAUGUAUCUUAUUUUAUAUGUUAGAAAGGUUAAA
rnacentral:lncRNA from 1 species